rnacentral:rRNA from 1 species
AUUGAACGCUAGCGGGAUGCCUUACACAUGCAAGUAGAACGGCUUGGCGACCGGGUGAGUAAUCUAACGGAACGUGCCCAGUAGCGGGGGAUAACUACGCGACAGCGUAGCUAAUACCGCAUACUAUUGGAGCCGCCGAUAUCGGAUGAGCUAGUUGGUGGGGUAACGGAUAACCAAGGCGACGAUCCGUAGCUGGUUUGAGAGGACGACCAGCCAAACUGGGACUGAGACACGGCCCAUACUCGUACGGGAGGCAGCAUUGGGAAAUGUUAGACAAAGGGGGAAACCCUGUUCCAGCCAUCCCGCGUGUCCGAUGAAGGCCUGCGGGUUGUAAAGCACUUUUGGCAGGAGAGCGGUACCUGUAGAAUAAGCACCGGCUAACUCCGUGCCAGCAGCCGCGGUAAUAC